rnacentral:rRNA from 1 species
GACGAACGUUGGCGGCGUGCCUAAUACAUGCAAGUUGAGCGCUGAAGGUUGGUACUUGUACCAACUGGAUGAGCAGCGAACGGGUGAGUAACGCGUGGGGAAUCUGCCUUUGAGCGGGGGACAACAUUUGGAAACGAAUGCUAAUACCGCAUAAAAACUUUAAACACAAGUUUUAAGUUUGAAAGAUGCAAUUGCAUCACUCAAAGAUGAUCCCGCGUUGUAUUAGCUAGUUGGUGAGGUAAAGGCUCACCAAGGCGAUGAUACAUAGCCGACCUGAGAGGGUGAUCGGCCACAUUGGGACUGAGACACGGCCCAAACUCCUACGGGAGGCAGCAGUAGGGAAUCUUCGGCAAUGGACGAAAGUCUGACCGAGCAACGCCGCGUGAGUGAAGAAGGGUUUCGGAUCGGAAAACUCUGUUGGUAGAGAAGAACGUUGGUGAGAGUGGAAAGCUCAUCAAGUGACGGUAACUACCCAGAAAGGGACGGCUAACUACGUG